rnacentral:lncRNA from 1 species
GGUAAGUUGAUCUUUGCAUGCGAUCCGCCGUUGUCCCGAGGAUCCCGCUUUGGCGACACUGAGAUAGCCGACUAGAGGUCGCCUCCGGCCGUUGUCGCCCAAGCCAGGUAGGGUCCCCGCGGCCGCGCGCCCCGGUGCCCCGUUAUUCCCCUUAUUUUUGCUCUGUUUUGUCCUGUUUUGGACACGUGGGGGCCGGAGCUCGCGGCCGUCAGGUUCACGCGAUCACCGGUCCCGUCGGUCCCAUGCUCUGUCGUUAUCAGUCUUUGGUUGUCUUCCUUCGAGAACCCCCUGUGCGAUUUUGACUCCCGUUUGUGUAGGAAACUCCACUAUCAGGGUUGCACGUCACCUGUUUGUGAAAAUGCCUCCACUAGAUCCCCAAACUUUUUCUUGUGUCUAAUUUGCUUCGCGUGCAUCCUAUGUUUUGUGCCGUGACAGGUUUGUGGAGGGAUAACGUCUGUGGGAGCUGGGAGUCGGCCUGCCCGAGGACAACUCCGUCCUGCUGGUUCGCGGUCGCAUUGGCCGACGUCGCCAGGGCACCGACUUCAACCAAUGGUGGAGUCGGGUCUAUCACGGUUUGGUCUGAGUCGAGUCUGUCGAGAAUAGAUCGCUCACGAAGAUGUUCCGGGUAGCCGAUGGGGUGGUCGUUGGAGGAUCCGGUGAUUCUUGAUUUAAUAUAGGAUAAUCGACGUUUUGUUGUUCUGGGCUUAUUGGACGUCAAUGGUUCUGGGCUUGCACUUUGGGCUCAUUUAGACUUAGUGAGUCUUGGGCUUGAAGUGUUAAUUCGGCGAAUUCGGGCUUCAUUUUUAUUACAAGGAUAGUGACUGUUGG